AGCAGCGGGGCCUUCGAUAGCUCAGUU
rnacentral:piRNA from 1 species